UAAUUUCCAUCCUAUUUAAGCUAUCGAAGCAUUGUUUACUAAGGUCACUCUCUCCUUCACACGAUGAGAGACUUGAUGGCUAGGGGUUAGGGUUUCUCCAGUUUUCUUUAUUUAUUCUCUACAUCAUCUCUCUCAAGUCUUCUCUGAUUGUCGCUCUGGGUUCUUCUUGUGUAUUGGGUCCAACUUUUUUUUUUUUUUGGGGGUCUUUUGUUCUCCGUUGGGUAGCUGCGCCGACUUCCUUUCUGGAUUCCGAAGGAGGAAUUCGCUGGUGAGGGGUCUCCAUCUUAAAGCUAUGGAGGUGACCACCUCUUCUUUUGUUCAAGGGGAAAAGUGGAUAGUAUUUCAUGUCCAAUUAAGACACUAUCAUAAAUUAAGAGUGCUGCUAAAGGAACCCUAAAAUUAACUGAGUACACCUUACUACUAAACUAUUUAUUGAAUUACUAAUUUACCAUAAUAUAAAAUUUUCAAAACGGAUAAGUAUACUCUACUCAUCAUUCAACCCUAAUCAAAUGUAGAAAAGUUUUCAUAUUAUUUGAUGCCCACGACGAACAACGCAGCGAGUAUUAACGGAUGCGCAAGGAGGUGUCGUUAAUUUUAAUAGAAGCAUUAAUGUGGAGCAUUCCAAUCACCCCAGAGCGAAGCUGAAGGGCCUUUUGCAGCCUGAAAGUAAGAAUAACCUCUCUCGUUCAAUGCAUUUCGAAUUGUAUUGCAUAAUAUAAUAAACACUUAUGUAUGAAUUAUGUAGGAAAU
rnacentral:lncRNA from 1 species